GACGAACGCUGGCGGCGUGCUUAACACAUGCAAGUCGAGCGGAAAGGCUCCUUCGGGGGUACUCGAGCGGCGAACGGGUGAGUAACACGUGAGUAAUCUGCCCUGUGCUCUGGGAUAACCACCGGAAACGGUGAUUAAUACCGGAUAUGACCAGCUACUGCAUGGUGGUUGGUGGAAAGUUUUUCGGCACAGGAUGUGCUCGCGGCCUAUCAGCUUGUUGGUGAGGUAAUGGCUCACCAAGGCUUUGACGGGUAGCCGGCCUGAGAGGGUGACCGGUCACACUGGGACUGAGACACGGCCCAGACUCCUACGGGAGGCAGCAGUGGGGAAUAUUGGACAAUGGGCGGAAGCCUGAUCCAGCAACGCCGCGUGAGGGAUGACGGCCUUCGGGUUGUAAACCUCUUUCAGUACCGACGAAGCGAAAGUGACGGUAGGUACAGAAGAAGGACCGGCCAACUACGUGCCAGCCGCCGCCGUAAAAC
rnacentral:rRNA from 1 species